rnacentral:lncRNA from 1 species
UCUCUUUGUACUUCCUGUGGACUAGUCUGUUACUCAUGGGCAGUCCUUUAGGUGACAAUUAAUCAACCUUGGUUGGCAGAUGAGAAAAAUGAGACUCUGAGAGACCAGCCAACUAGCCACACAGCAGAACUCUCAGCACCACAUGACGUAAGAAUGGCAGCGGCUUCAGGCUGAGGGCAAUAGGUCUCCCAAGGGAGCAGCAGCAUGGAUGAUGAUAAAAAAACACUCUGCAGAACAUCUCCGAGCCUCUCCUUCAGUCCCCAGACUCCUCUCUGGCUUUCCUCAGCCCUCCCAUGGCUUGUUCUCUGGAUCAUGAUUGAAAUCAGGGGCCAGAAGCCAGAGAGCUACAGUCCUCAAAGUCCUCAAAUCCCCUGCGUGCCAAAGAGAGACACCGCCACAAGACCUGGUGUCUAGAAGAGAAACCUCAGCUGUAGUGCUACUCAUGGUCUGAGGGCAGAUGCGUGGGCUUCGGCAUCGGAGCUUCAGGCUCUUUCUGUGCUUUGAUUCCAGAGGCUCAGGUGUCUUGUGGUUUCAGCCACUCCCGACUUCCUAAAACUCAACAAGAAAUCUGAGCCAGCCCUUCCCAGCUUUGUAAAUAUCGAAUUCCCUGUAUUUAAUCACUCUUUCGGAGUGAGGCGCCUAUGUCCUGACUGGUGUGAGGCCUUGUCCAUGAUCAUAGUUUAUAACCUGCUUGCUUGUACUUAACAAGACAAAUCUAUUCAAGGGCCAUCGAGUAUUCAAGUUUGGGUGGUCACCUGCUAGCCAACAAUUAGGUUGUUUCCUGGUUUUGCUGUUAUGUCCACACAGUCAAGAACCACCCCCACAGUCCUCAGCUUGGCAAUGAAUCUGUAUGCAAGGUCAGAAGUAUUUACUCAGAACACAUUCUUGAAAUGCAAUGUUUUAGUUGAGAGAAGCUCACUCUUUGAAAGUGCUCAUGUCUAUUUCCAGAGAUGUCAUCUGUGUUUUCUCGUUUUGGCCUGUAGGACAUGAUUCUCUACUUUUUCUUCCAACUCUCUGGCUGUGCCGUCCCCAUUUCAGUGGCUUCUUCCUCCUCCACCAGUCCUAGGGAUAGAACCACUGUUCUACCUCUCAGUCAAGUGCUUUGUGUCCGAGCCACGUCUCCAGCCAACCUGGACUUUUCUCUCUAUUUCUUGGGCAUCGUGCAAACGAUGUUCCUGGUGAGAGCCCACGAUGAGCACCUGUACCUGCUGUUCAGUCUGCUCACUCAUCCAGAUGUCUACAAGUUGGGCUCCUUUGUCUUGUCAUAUGUCCUUGGGUGGGGACUUCUCUGACUCUCCUGUUUAACAUGGUAGUGUCUAGCAACCCUUUGUGUCCCAUUUCUGGUUUACCCAUAGUACCUAUCACUAUCUAUCUUCAGAAAACAGUGUCUACAAGCUCUAUGUUUAUUGAGUAUAGAUAUGAACUUGGGACAUUUUCUGAGCCUGCUGUUCCCCUUGUGCUAUUGAGAAGGCUCCAAUAUAGACUAAUUUCUCCUUCCCUCCCUCCUCUCUCCCCCUCCCUCCUUCUUUUCCUUUCCUUUCUUUAUUUCAUAUUUUAGGCAAGGUCUUGCCUAUAGCCCUGACUGGCCUGGAACUUGCUAUGUAGACAACCUGGCCUUGAUAACUCACAGUUAUCCUCCUGCCUCUGCCUCCCAAGGGCUAGGAUUACAGGUAUUUGCUAUCAUGCCUGGCUUCCAAUGUGAACUAUUUGUGAAGCAUAUUACAAUGUCACUUAACCUUAGGGGACUCUGGCCAGGGCAAAUGAUGGAAGGCAGAACGUAUCACUUCUCUGUGAACCUUCUGGUUGGUGAUCUGCUGUUGUUUUUAAUAUGUGAAACGAGGGAAAUAACAACCAUUACAUAGGGUUGUCGUUGGAAUUGCGUGAACUAACUCAUGAAAAUAAUCAUCAAGCAUCUGUCAUGUGUUAAUCAUUAAGUAACUGCAAGCCAGUUUAUUCUCACUUUGUAGUAGAG